AGUGGAUUAGGAAGAUCAACUUAAACAGGCAUGACAGAGCUGAUCCUUGUAGGUUCAAUGCCAAUCAGCACUAGACAGAAUGAGUGCAUCUAUCAGGAGAUUGAAGAUCAGGAGCUGAGUACUGCAGUAACGUCCACACUCACCACUGUCUACAGCACAGUGGGGUCUUCACACACUGUAAUCUACUCCAGUGUAGAUGAACCAUCUGACUCCAUCACAUACUGCACUGUAAAUGUGUCUCAGCAAAGCACAACCCAUGCACUAAACUCCAAUGAAGCUGAGGACUCUGUGAUUUACUCCAAAAUGACCUUCUAAGUUUAACCAAAAAACCCAGUCUGUCCACAGUCAUCAACAGAGCAACACAUAAGACUGAACAACGGCUCAUUUAAUCAUCCAUUUAAAGGCUGCAAACAGUUGACAACUCAGAAAAACUUUUUCCUU